rnacentral:rRNA from 1 species
GACGAACGCUGGCGGCGUGCUUAACACAUGCAAGUCGAACGAUGAACCCGGAGCUUGCUCCGGCGGAUUAGUGGCGAACGGGUGAGUAACACGUGAGUAACCUGCCCUUGACUCUGGGAUAACUGCGGGAAACUGUAGCUAAUACCGGAUACGACCCUCGGCGGCAUCGCCAGGGGGUGGAAAGAAUUUCGGUCAAGGAUGAGCUCGCGGCCUAUCAGCUUGUUGGUGAGGUAAUGGCUCACCAAGGCGACGACGGGUAGCCGGCCUGAGAGGGUGACCGGGCACACUGGGACUGAGACACGGCCCAGACUCCUACGGGGGGCAGCAGUGGGGAAUAUUGCACAAUGGGCGCAAGACUGAUGCAGCAACGCCGCGUGAGGGAUGACGGCCUUCGGGUUGUAAACCUCUUUUAGUAGGGAAGAAGCGAAAGUGACGGUACCUGCAGAAAAAGCACCGGCUAACUACGUGCCAGCCGCCGCAGUAA